GCGAGCUGAGUGGGGCGCCGGGGCGGUAGGAGGGCGCUGUUCGCUGAGCUGGAGUCCGGGCUCCGGUCCCCGCCACGGACCUUCAGAGGACAGCCCAUUUUUUCUUAUGAUAAAGACGGCAUUUGGCUCAUGAGCAAGGUGGCAAAAUCAUCAAGUGAGUCAGACGUGCAGCUCUGGGAAACAGAAGAGGAUGACAUGACAGAAGGUGAUUUAGGGUAUGGCCUCGGAAGGAAACCUGGUGGGAUUUAUGAAAUAGAAUUUUCACAUAGGUCUAGAAAAAGAUCAGAUGGAAAGAACUUUAGCCCUCCUCCAUUUCCGAGAAAGGGAGAAGAAAGAAAUGAAGCGAGUUUUCAGUAUUCCAAGCAUAAGAGCCAGCAAGAGACAUUCCCUCAAGUGUCCAGAAUUUCUAAUUACAGACGACAAAGUAGCACUGAUUCGAAUUCAGAAUUGUCAAAUGAAGAAUUAAGGCAAUGUCUUAAUGAAACUUUAGAGGAGGUAGAAAUGUUAAAAACUGAACUUGAGGCAUCUCAAAGACAACUCAGAGGUAAAGAGGAAGCAUUGAAAAUUCUUCAAAGCAUGGCAAUACUGGGCAAAGCCACAAGUCAUACGCAGGCAGUGCUUCAAAAAACUAUGGAACAAAACAGAUCCUUGGAGAAGGAAAUAAAUGCCUUGCAGUGGGAAAUAGAAUUUGAUCAUAAUAGAUUUAAAAAUAUAGAGGAAUCUUGGAUCCAAAAAUAUGACAGGCUAAACUGUGAAAAUGCAGUCCUCAAAGAGAAUUUGAAAGUGAAAACAGAAGAAAUUAAAAUGCUGAAGUCUGACAAUGCAGUUUUGAAUCAACGGUAUUUGGAGGCCCUCGCCAUGCUUGAUAUCAAACAGCAGAAGAUGGCUCAGGAAAACAUGUGCUGUGAUAAAAGUGGCUUUGCAGAGGCUUCAGGUCUUGAGUUGGAAAUUUUGCAGAAGAGUAAAGAAGAAGCUUACGUGAUGGCAGAUGCUUUCAGAAUUGCAUUUGAGCAACAAUUAAUGAGAAAAAAUGACCAGGCACUACAAUUGACACAACUGGAUAAAAUGCAUAAAAAAGCAACAAAAUGGAUGAAUUGGAAGCACCUUAAAGAGGAUGGAUUUCCAUCACCAAGGAGUAAGAAGACCUUCGGGCAGAGACUGUUGGGUAUGCUCCCUUCAGAAAACAUUUCUAAGAGGAUGGAAGACCAGGACAGUCCUCAAGAGGUCCUUAAGAUGCUCAUAGAUUUGCUUAAUGAUAAAGAAGAAGCUUUGGCUCAUCAAAGAAAAGUUAGCUACAUGCUUGCUCGGGCAUUGGAAGACAAAGACACUGCUUCAAAAGAGAAUAAAGAAAAAAAUCCUAUAAAAGAGAAUUUCCCUUUCAACAACCCCUGGCGUAAGACUUCAGAAUUCUCUGUUUUGGGUGAUCCUAUACAUUCAAGUGUCUGCAUUUUAAAUUCUGUGGGCUGCAUUUGUUCAAUCCAGCACUCUCAAAUAGAUCCAAACUAUAGAACUCUUAAAAGAACCCAUUCUUUGCCAUCAAGUAUCAUAUUUUAAAGACAAGCCAGUUGAAAUUGGAACUGAGAGUUGUUUAUAUCGAGAUACUUUGAAAAAUGAUUUUGUAAAUUUUGCUGCAUCUUGAGAAGUUGUAUGUUUCCUAGGUAUUUCUAAAUUUUAGGAGAAUCGCUUGAACCUGGGAGGCGGGGGUUGUGGUGAGCCGAGACUGUGUCAUUGCACUCCAGCCUGGGCGACAAGAGCGAAACUCUGUCUCAAAAAAAAAAAACAAAACAAAACAAACAAACAAACAAAAAAAAACACAUUACAGUGUUUGCCAACAUCCUAAAACAAAAAAUAAUGAUUUUUGGGAAAAACAAAAAAUUAUUUAACUAUUUUGAUUGACUAUAGGGAUCUUAGCUUGGCUAAAUCAACAAUAUAGCAAUGUAUCUUAAUGCUCUAAAAAGUAACAAUACCUAGGACUGACUGAAUAUUAAUUUCUGGAAUUCAUUUAUCUUGUUUUAUUUGCCUUGUUCAGUAUUUUUCAUUUACCAUAUGAAGUUUAGAAAUAACAAUUUCCUUAAGUUAACUUCGAUAAGACAGUUUUGAUGGUGGGACCUUGGCAGAAGUAUAUUGAGUCAUUGCCGGCUACGUUCAUGGCUUCUUGUCAGGGUAGUAACAUUUUGCAACCAAAUCUGCACAGAUUUGUAGCCAAGUCUACAAAGUGCUUAACAGCUGUUUUCAUUGCAUCCUGUGAGAUGGUUGUGAUGAUCCCAGGAAAUGGGGUCUCAGGAAUCUGAAGAAGCUGCCUGAGCCAAGGUGAUUUCUAGGAGUUUUUUUGUUUGUGGUAUGUGAAUUGGGGUGUGUGGGGGUGGGGUGUGUGUGUAGACAGGGUCCCACUGUGUUGCUCAGGCUGGUGCCAAACUCCUGGCCUCAAGGGAUCCUCCUGCCUCAGCCUCUCAGAGUGCUGGGAUUACAGGCGUAAACCACCACAACUCAAUAAAAAAGUUUUUAAAAAUUUACAAAGCUCAUAUUUGAUCCAGCUAGGAUUUUACCCUGUACAUUUGUAUUUCUUGUAGGCUGGCGCACAGAUAUCUUAAAUGGCUACUAAUUGCUGCUGUGUAUGAAAACAAAUGGCUAUCAAGGCCGGGUGCAGUGGCUCACAGAUCUGGUCUGAAUCUCAAGUCCAGACCAGUCCAGAGUUCAAGACCAGCCUGGGCAACAUGGUGAAACCCCAUCUAUACAAAAACUCGGCAAGGCAUGGUGGCAUGCACCUGUUGUCCCAGCUACUCAGGGGCUGAGGCAGGAGGAUGGCAUGAGCCCAGGAGCUUGAGGCUGCAGUGAGCUGUGAUUGUGCCACUGCACUCCAGCCUGAGUGACAGAGUGAGACCCCCAUCUCCAAAAGAAAAGGCUAUCAAUACAAAAGUUUUAUCUAAAUUACUGUACAGCUAUACAAUGGAAUACUCUACAAAAUGGAGAGAUCCAUAAGAUAAAGCAAAUGAAUAAAGCAAAAUGCAUGUGUUGA